GGCGUGGAGCCUUGCGGGGAGCAGGUCGCUCACAUCCAGGAGGAGCUGGGCGAGGUGUGUGGCAGACCUCGGCGUGGGGAGCCGUAGCCCGGCAGUCGGGAUGGGAGAGCGGAGCAGGCAUUGCAGGAAGUUUUGGAGAGGAGAAGCUGAGCGGCAACGAGGAGCCUGAGCAGGU